rnacentral:rRNA from 1 species
UACAGAGGUCUCAAGCGUUGUUCGGAUUCAUUGGGCGUAAAGGGUGUGUAGGUGGCGCGCUAAGUCGGGUGUAAAAUUUCGGAGCUUAACUCCGAAACUGCAUUCGAUACUGGCGUGCUUGAGGACUGGAGAGGAGACUGGAAUUCAUGGUGUAGCAGUGAAAUGCGUAGAGAUCAUGAGGAAGACCAGUGGCGAAGGCGGGUCUCUGGACAGUUCCUGACACUGAGACACGAAGGCCAGGGGAGCAAACGGG